GACGGACCCGCACAAGCGGUGGAUUAUGUUGUUUAAUUCGACGCAACGCGAGGAACCUUACCAGGCCUUGACAUACUCGGCAAAGCUCUAGAGAUAGAGUGGAGGUUAUCCGGGAUACAGGUGGUGCAUGGUUGUCGUCAGCUCGUGUCGUGAGAUGUUGGGUUAAGUCCCGCAACGAGCGCAACCCUUGUCUUUAGUUACCAUCAUUCAGUUGGGCACUCUAAAGAGACUGCCGGUGUCAAACCGGAGGAAGGUGGGGAUGACGUCAAGUCCUCAUGGCCUUUAUAUCCUGGGCUACACACACGCUACAAUGGCAGAUACAAUAGGUUGCGAAACCGCGAGGUGGAGCCAAUCCUCAAAGUCUGUCUCAGUUCAGAUUGUAGGCUGCAACUCGCCUGCAUGAAGUUGGAGUUGCUAGUAAACGCAGGUCAGCUAUACUGCGUUGAAUACGUUCCCGGGCCUU
rnacentral:rRNA from 1 species